UACGGAGGGUGCGAGCGUUGUCCGGAAUCACUGGGCGUAAAGGGCGCGUAGGUGGCGCGAGGAGUCUGUGGUGAAAGCCCGAGGCUCAACUUCGGGUCGGCCGCGGAUACUCUCGUGCUGGAGGGUGGUAGAGGCCAAUGGAAUUCCGGGUGUAGCGGUGGAAUGCGUAGAGAUCCGGAGGAACACCGACGGCGUAGGCAGCGCCCUGGCUGUGAAUAAAGCUGACACUGAGGCACGAAAGCUGGGGGAGCAAACAGG
rnacentral:rRNA from 1 species